rnacentral:misc_RNA from 1 species
UUCCUUCGCUGUCCAAUAUCUAAACAAAAGAAAGAAAGAAAGAUACAAACGAAGGAAGAGAAAGAGAGAGAGAGAAGGGGGGGAGGCCUUGACUUUGUGACUUUACAGUGUGAAGGCGUCAUCCAUCAAUAAUUUUGACUCCUCUCUUUCUCUCUAUCUCUCUUUCUUCCCCGUUUGGAGCGGGAGUGCGUUGUAAACCGCGUUCGGGAGUUCAACGCCCGACUCGGACUCCGUCCCAUCUCCCAUCCUCCUCCUUCUCAGUACUCAUCGUCAAACCUCCCUCUUCAGCUCUGCAGAUGGAUUUCCCCUUUCCCUCGUUUCUUUUCCAGCGGAUUCGUUAUUAUUUGUACAAAAACAACGCCUGAUUAAGAGACGCUAAUCAUGAUCAUUAUUCUUAAUAUUAUUCUUGUUUCCAUAUCUCGCUAUGCGUUGGCUUCAAAACAUUUCCUUCUCGUCGUCGUCUAAUCCUUCCACCUCUGCUUCUUCUUCCUCUUCUGCUGUUGGCGAUGCCACUUUUUCUCCUGCAAAGAAGCACAGCCAUUAUAGGAGCUAUAUUCGAGCCGGUCCGCUAGCUUUGCGUUUCGGCGGUGGUGGUGGGCCCAGGUUCAUUCGCCCGAAGAAGCUCCGCCAUUUGACCGGAAAUGAGGUUACAGACCGAGCCUCUUCCGCUUCCGCUACCGCUACCGCUACGAAACCCAACUCAGACUCCGCUGAGUCCGUUCAGCUUUCGCGGUCUCCCAGUAGCUCUUCCUCCACCGUCCCGUUGAGGUUGUCAUCGUCAGCUCCUGUGCCAGUGCCGUUGCCCCUGCCUUUACCUCUCCCUGACAAUUCUAAUUCUGGAGACGGGGACUUGCGCUUGAAGUCGCCUAAGGAGAAGGAUCGAGACGGUGUUAAGGAGAGAGAAAGAGAAAGAAGUGAUGGCUCCGGACGAGAGGGAUUUUCUUCUUCGACCUCUCCAAUUAAGAGUGUAUUCCUUGGUCGAGAUACUAGGAAGGUGGUGGAGCAUCUAGAUAUAAGGUCACCUAGGAAGGUUCAUCCAGAUUUUGUUAUGGAUAAUUAUGGAGAGAACUUCAAGGCCAAUGUUCCUACUAGGAGCGCUCCUACUAGUCCAUUUUCAAGUCCUGUACUCAGCCCACAAACAUUAACUUCUGUUGCGGAUUUGUUGCCUUACUAUCAAAUGAUUGCUAAAGGAAAUCAAGUCUGGUCUGCACCAGAAAUGGCAACGAUAGAUAUACCCGGGCUUCCUCCCCCAGCAUUUUUUGAUUACACUGCAUUCAAUAGUGACAGUUCCCCCCUUCAUAGUCCACCAAGUAGAAGUCCCCGCCGGAAUCCAAGAAGCCCUAAUAGACCUGCGUCACCACUGAAUGCAAAACUUUCAAUUGAAACCUCGACCCCAGGCCGUGAAAGUAAUGCUAACUUUGAGGUCCAUCCAUUACCCCUUCCUCCUGGAGCUGCCAGGCCUUCAGUGUCAACUCCUGUUCCACAAGUUAUUGCUAAAGCAGAGUCCAUGCCCUUGAAAAGUCAGUGGCAGAAGGGAAAGCUUAUUGGACGUGGUACAUUUGGCAGUGUUUAUGUUGCCAGCAAUAGGGAAACUGGGGCCCUAUGUGCAAUGAAGGAAGUAGACAUAUUUCCAGACGACCCAAAAUCUGCAGAGUCUAUAAAGCAAUUAGAACAGGAAAUUAAAAUUCUCAGCCAGCUGAAGCAUCCAAACAUUGUGCAGUAUUAUGGUAGUGAAAUAUUUGAAGACUGCUUCUAUAUAUAUCUAGAGUAUGUUCAUCCUGGUUCAAUCAAUAAAUAUGUCCGUGAACAUUGUGGAGCCAUAACAGAAAAUGUUGUUCGUAGUUUUACUCGCCACAUUCUCUCUGGGUUAGCUUACUUGCAUAGCAUGAAGACAAUACACAGGGACAUAAAAGGGGCCAAUUUGCUUGUUGAUGCAUCUGGAGUUGUCAAGCUUGCUGAUUUUGGGAUGUCGAAACAUCUUACUGGACAAGCAGCUGAGCUUUCUUUGAAGGGAAGUCCAUACUGGAUGGCUCCUGAGCUUAUGCAAGCUGUAAUGCGGAAUGACACCAGCUCUGAUCUUGCACUUGCAGUUGACAUUUGGAGCCUGGGCUGUACUAUUAUUGAAAUGUUCACUGGAAAACCUCCUUGGAGUGAUUAUGAAGGGGUAAGCACCGAAUUUUUCUCACAAUCUUUAUUUAUCUCCUUAAAUUGGCCUCAGAAGUAUAGAUACAUAUGAGAUAACCCUUCUUCUUUUUUUUUUUUUACUCUCGAUUUUCUGUACAACUGUUCAAGAGAUAGCUUAAUGAUUAGAAUGUAGGAUCUCCAUCUAAUCCCUUUUUCAUGAACCACCUGAGCUGGGCCCAGUUUAUAGGACUUUGUUGUUACAAAGGGUAGUGCGGAGUAUCCGUACUUCUUAGAACCUGAUAUAAAUUUUUAGUGUGCAAUAUUAUUUAAGUUUUAGUAGUUUUUGCAUAUAAUUUUUUUUCCCUCCUUUUUUGGUUGGUGGCUGGGUGGGGAUUUUUUGUAUAUAUAUUUAUGAAGAACUAAAAGGCUUACAAUUUAUCUGCAUUGUAGAUUAUCACUUAAUUUUUAGUUUCUUUUUAAUUUUUUUAGAAAAAGACAAUACUCUUUUUGUUUUAGCUAGUAUCUGGGUUGCUACCUCAUGAUUAUGCCCCUCCCCUUUCUCUUCUUCUUUUUCUUCAAUGUCGAAGAUUGUGUAAAAUCUUAUUCUUUCUUGUGAGUUGUGAUUCAUAUUUUCUUUUCUUGUGGAAAAGAAAGGGGGAGAUUUGAUGGCAGAGCUGAUUUCUUGAAUUUCUACAAGAUUAUUUGAUAUCAACAAAGUUUCCCUUGUUUCUGGUAGAUAAAAAUAGUUUCCCAAUAAGGGAAACUAUGUCUAAAAGUUUGACAUAUAUGUUUUCUCCCUUUUGAUCUUCUUUUUCUUCCUCUUGUUUGAGUUCAUUUGUAUCUGGUUCUUACGGUUAUUGUUUGGUGGAAUGGUAACUUAAUAGUAGUAAAUUUGUAUAAUUGUUUUGUCCCCCUUUUCUGUUGACUAAUUUUGUGAUUGAAUUCUUGCAUUGACAAGUGAGAUGCAAUAACUUAAUGCUAGUGAAUCUUCCCACUGUAUCUUCUAUUUGGAUUGAAGUUACUUGGGAACGAUCCUUUUUUUUAUGGCCUUUUUCCAUAAAUCAACUUAGGACAUUGCAACUCAAGCUAGUGAUUAAACUUAGUAAUUUCUACCUGAUGUGAGUCUGCUAGUCUCUGCAUCAUUUCCUUGUUAUUGGAUCAGGAUGAAUUUCGGUGAGUCAUUUGCUAGAUUUGUGUGGUGAUAUGAAUGUGCCUUUUCUACUGGAUUCAAGCAUAUAUUGUCUAGAUUACUGGAAGAAAGUAUGAAUCUGAUUUCCUUUAUAGUGAAGUACCAAUAUAAAGUUCAUGGUGACUGAUAGAAAAAUGCAUGGUUAGGUGAUUUAAAUCAGAUAUUAUGCAAAAUUGAUUUAAAUCGGCUAUUAUGCAAAAUUGAUUUAAAUCGGCUAUUAUGCAAAAUUGUAGUCUAAUUAUCUCUAUGUCGAUUGAAUAGUAGAAAAAAUUUGUCCGCUAUGCAGGCUUCAGCCAUGUUUAAAGUUCUCAAGGAUACCCCACCAAUACCUGAAACACUGUCACCUGAUGGCAAGGAUUUUCUAAAUUGCUGCUUUAGAAGAAAUCCUGCAGACAGGCCAUCAGCAAGCAUGUUGCUGGAACAUCGUUGGUUGAAAAACUUAACGUACCUUGAUAAUCCGACUUCCACCCUGUCAUUUAAUGGGCUAAAAUUGAUGGUAAACUAUCAGUGUCAUUUCCCUUUUGUUUUCUGGUCUUACGUUCCUUGAAAAGGAUGUUAGCAUUUUGUAUCAUGUUUGCAUUGGCAGGAUAUAACCCAUAGCCAUAUUCCAAACGCGUCUGAAGUUAAGCUUGAUCAAUUGCCAGUACUCCCUGGCACACAAAGUAUAAAGGGAAAGGUGGCUUCUGACAGCUUCAUGAAUUCUUCUUUUUCUUCAGCGAAACUGCCCAAGGAUCUCAUCAUAAAGCUUCCAACUUAACAGCAAUGGUGUCCUGUUAUUCUCCUCGCUCUAUUCUUGAGGUUCUUCCCACUUUAUCUCCUCCUUGCCCAGGUCUCAGCAUAAGUCAUGGUAGCUCUUCUUCGUCUAUUCCCAGCUUAAUUAAACAUUGUGCUAAAUGUAAUCAUAUCCUUAGAUAACAGAGAGAAUUGAAAAAACCUCAUUUUUUUUUUGGCGGGCAAAUCUAAUAACUCAGAUUAAUUGAAGGAAAUUGAACCAUUGACCGUUAUAGGCUCUAGUAGAUGAUUGGCGGCCAUAGGUUGUUGCAGCAGUAAGUUAUUUGCCUCAUCUUUUGUCAUCAAUUCCUUCUCAAGUUUGGAAAGCUUGUUCAUCCUGGGAAUUAUAUUCUGAACUGGGGAUUUUUUAGAAGCAGGUUUUGUAUACUAUUUACUAAUUUAGAGCUUCAGCAAUUACAGAAGUUCAAUUGUAUGUAUAUUUUUCAAGAUAAUGUUCUCACUCCAAUUUAAUGGAGUUGAAAUGUAUUUGUAGAUUUUAGAGAAAAGGAGGAAAAAAGGGAAGGUGAAAUUUACUCAUCUAGCCAAGGGGAGUUCAAAGUGACAUAAUGAUAUAAAGUAGUUUCAGUGAAUUUUUUGUCCUCCAACUCUACUCUUGGAUUUCUGUUUUUGAUAUGAUAUGCUCAAAACUUGAAAGACACCUGCAGCAGUAUGUUAUUCUGAUUUGGGAAGGCGGUGAAUAUUAUAUUAUUUGGGGAAAUUGAAAAAAGUAAUUUUGGUUAUUGGGUUAGAAUUUGGAUAUUAGUUCCAUUGUUAAAUUGUUGCAAAUUCUUAAUUUAAUGGAAAAUUGGCGUAUAUGUUGAUGAAUUUUAUUUCAA